CAGCACAACCCAAACAAUUGCUCAUAAUUAAACUGAUUGGAGGAGCAGACACUGGCAGGAAAUACACUGCUGGCAGCGGUCCGAUAGCACUUCAUUGUACUGAAUUUAGAACAAUUACAUCAGUUCCUUUCAUUUUGCAGAAAAAGAGGAGGGGGGGCUGCUUUUUUAUCUUCUGCUCUCUACCAGCAAAAUCGAUGUUUAUCAAAUCUUGUGAAGAUGAUUUGGACAUUUUUAAUGAACUAUGAUGAUCACCGUCACAAGUGCUUUGUACUGGUGCCUUCAAGAUCUGCAUCAAGAAAUACCAGCUCACAAAAGGCCCUGAUAUCACUCAGCCUGAAACACUAACUUCUUUACACCAUUCUGCAAUGCCUUUGUGAGUAAAGAUUCUCUCAAUGUUGUAUCAGUUUGAAUCAGC
rnacentral:lncRNA from 1 species